AUGCAUCUUCCUAUUGAACUGAACAAGAUAUUGCCAAAGUUGUCCAUAAAACGUGUCCAAAACAGUUCCAAGCUUAUUCCGGACUUGAAACAUUCCUCCAUCCAAACAGUACAUGAAAAUGAUUCAAAACAAAAACAUAAACCUAUUAACACACUUACUGAUCCGCUGCUACAUGAGCAUAGUGGAUUGAAGACAAUAUUCGGAACUCUUGCUCAACAAAUUCUUAUCAUGUUCCAAGUAAGAUUAAUAAGUUUAUGA